GAUGAACGCUGGCGGCGUGCCUAAUACAUGCAAGUCGAGCGAACGGACGAGAAGCUUGCUUCUCUGAUGUUAGCGGCGGACGGGUGAGUAACACGUGGAUAACCUACCUAUAAGACUGGGAUAACUUCGGGAAACCGGAGCUAAUACCGGAUGAUAUUUUUAACCGCAUGGUUCAAAAGUGAAAGACGGUCUUGCUGUCACUUAUAGAUGUAUCCGCGCUGCAUUAGCUAGUUGGUAAGGUAACGGCUUACCAAGGCAACGAUGCAUAGCCGACCUGAGAGGGUGAUCGGCCACACUGGAACUGAGACACGGUCCAGACUCCUACGGGAGGCAGCAGUAGGGAAUCUUCCGCAAUGGGCGAAAGCCUGACGGAGCAACGCCGCGUGAGUGAUGAAGGUCUUCGGAUCGUAAAACUCUGUUAUUAGGGAAGAACAUAUGUGUAAGUAACUGUGCACAACUUGACGGUACCUAAUCAGAAAGCCACGGCUAACUACGUG
rnacentral:rRNA from 1 species